GGGAACAGGAUCAGAGUUCCUGGGAGGCCGACCUCCACGAAACUGCCUUCAUUCAUUAGCAGAGCUGCAUAUUCCAAAGCAAAAUGGAGUCUAGGACUCUCAUUUCUCCUGCCCCAAGUUCCUGGACUGCUCCCCGGGGAGGAUGGGCAAGCGCCCCCUGAAGCAGAACCUUGGGGCCCUGAGCACAAGAAGUCCCAGAUCAACCACCGUGACUUGGCCCGCCCCAGUGAGACCGCCUGUGAAGCCCACGGUGUAUCCAGUGGCCCCUGGGGAGGUGGGAACAACUCGGUCCUCCUUUUCCUCCUAUGCUCUGUGAAACACCCGUCCCAUCCCUGUUUUUGUAAUUUUUCAGAAACACCAGUCCCUUUCAAGAACACUGCCUCUGUACAUGCCUGAAAAGUGGUGUGUAAGUGAAAAAUCUGUCAGUCCUCUAUCCUUUAAAAUGCAUUUAAAAUAAAAGUUAUUAUUUCA